ACAAUACUCAAUGCCUAAUUGAUUUUUAUUAUUUAGUCUUCACGUACAAGGUACAAUAGUUUACAUCAUAAUUUAUAAAUUGCUUAUGUAUGUCGAUGUAUGCAGACAAAAACCUAGGUACUAAAAGAAUCUAAUAAAUUCCACUUUAAAUAGUGCGCUCAAUACACUUUAUUCACCUGCAUUAUACGAACUGUCCCACGGGAAUGGAGUCCUUACGGGAUCUCUGCUAAAUUUCAAAAACCUAUAAGGGCCGACGUUGAGCCCAGCUGGAUCAACAGUUUGGUCCCAACGAACGUUUGUGUCUAUCAAACCAAG